rnacentral:rRNA from 1 species
UAGGGAAUCUUCGGCAAUGGGGGGAACCCUGACCGAGCAACGCCGCGUGAGUGAAGAAGGUUUUCGGAUCGUAAAGCUCUGUUGUUAAGGAAGAACGAGUGUGAGAAUGGAAAGUUCAUACUGUGACGGUACUUAACCAGAAAGGGACGGCUAACUACGUGCCAGCAGCCGCGGUAAUACGUAGGUCCCGAGCGUUGUCCGGAUUUAUUGGGCGUAAAGCGAGCGCAGGCGGUUAGAUAAGUGUGAAGUUAAAGGCAGUGGCUCAACCAUUGUAGGCUUUGGAAACUGUUUAACUUGAGUGCAGAAGGGGAGAGUGGAAUUCCAUGUGUAGCGGUGAAAUGCGUAGAUAUAUGGAGGAACACCGGUGGCGAGAGCGGCUCUCUGGUCUGUAACUGACGCUGAGGCUCGAAAGCGUGGGGAGCGAACAGG